GGUUGGCUCAGAAGCAGCCAUCCUUUAAAGAGUGCGUAACAGCUCACUAGUCGAGUGACCCUGCGCCGAAAAUGUACCGGGGCUAAGCCUGAUACCGAAACUGCGGAUUGUAGGAAACUAUAGUGGUAGGGGAGCGUUGUAUACGAGCAGAAGCCGUACCGUGAGGAGCGGUGGAUUGUAUAGAAGUGAGAAUGCCGGUGUGAGUAGCGAGAUGUAGGUGAGAAUCCUACACACCGAAAGCCCAAGGAUUCCAGGGGAAGGUUCGUCCGCCCUGGGUAAGUCGGGACCUAACGCGAGGCCGAAAGGCGUAGUGGAUGGAAAGCAGGCGAAAGAUUCCUGCACCCGUAUAUGGAGCGAAGGAGUGACGGAGACGGAUAGUGUGACCCUCUUAAUGGAUUGAGGGCGAAGCGAAGCGGCUGGUUACCAGGCAAAUCCGGUAACUGAAAGGCUAGAGCGUGACAGGUAAGCGAAAUCUUAGGAAAGUAGCGAAGCACAUGAUGACGGCUUCCAGGAAAAGCUUCUGGCAAUGCAUAUGCGGCCCGUACCAAAACCGACACAGGUGGGCAGGGAGAGAAUCCCGAGGUGAGCGAGAGAACUGUUGCCAAGGAACUCGGCAAAAUGACUCCGUAAGUUAGCGAGAAGGAGUGCUUAAGCAAUUAAGCCGCAGUGAAGAGGCCCAAGCGACUGUUUAACUAAAACACAGCUCUCUGCGAAGUCGCAAGACGAAGUAUAGGGGGUGACACCUGCCCGGUGCUGGAAGGUUAAGAGGAUCUGUUAAGAGCGAUCUGAAGCAGUGAUCCGAAGCCCCAGUGAACGGCGGCCGUAACUAUAACGGUCCUAAGGUAGCGAAAUUCCUUGUCAGGUAAGUUCUGACCCGCACGAAAGGUGUAACGAUUUGGGCGCUGUCUCGGCAGCAGACUCGGUGAAAUCUUAGUACCUGUGAAAAUGCAGGUUACCCGCAACUAGACGGAAAGACCCCAUGGAGCUUUACUGCAGCCUGAUAUUGAAUUCUGGUCAUACAUGUACAGGAUAGGUGGGAGACAAAGAGACGUGCACGCCAGUGUACGAGGAGUCGCCGUUGGGAUACCACUCUUGUGUGACCGGGGUUCUAACCUGGUAUCGAGAACAGGUACGGGGAGAGUGUCAGGUGGGCAGUUUGACUGGGGCGGUCGCCUCCCAAAGAGUAACGGAGGCGCCCAAAGGUACGCUCAGAUUGGAUGGAAACCAAUCGUCGAGUGCAAUUGCAGAAGCGUGCUUGACUGUGAGACAGACAAGUCGAACAGGGACGAAAGUCGGGAAUAGUGAUCCGGCGGUGCCGAAUGGAAGGGCCGUCGCUCAACGGAUAAAAGCUACCCUGGGGAUAACAGGCUGAUCUCGCCCAAGAGUUCACAUCGACGGCGAGGUUUGGCACCUCGAUGUCGGCUCAUCGCAUCCUGGAGCUGGAUUCGGUUCCAAGGGUUGGGCUGUCCGCCCAUUAAAGCGGUACGCGAGCUGGGUUCAGAACGUCGUGAGACAGUUCGGUCCCUAUCUGUUGUGGGCGAAGGAGAUCUGCGGAGAGCUGUCCUCAGUACGAGAGGACCGGGAUGGACCUACCGCUGGUGCACCGGUUGUUCCGCCAGGGGCAUAGCCGGGUAGCUAAGUAGGGAAAGGAUAAGCGCUGAAAGCAUCUAAGCACGAAGCCUACUCCAAGAUGAGAUCUCCCAUUCG
rnacentral:rRNA from 1 species